rnacentral:rRNA from 1 species
UGGGGAAUAUUGCACAAUGGGCGCAAGCCUGAUGCAGCCAUGCCGCGUGUGUGAAGAAGGCCUUCGGGUUGUAAAGCACUUUCAGCGAGGAGGAAGGCAUAAAGGUUAAUAACCUUUGUGAUUGACGUUACUCGCAGAAGAAGCACCGGCUAACUCCGUGCCAGCAGCCGCGGUAAUACGGAGGGUGCAAGCGUUAAUCGGAAUUACUGGGCGUAAAGCGCACGCAGGCGGUUUGUUAAGUCAGAUGUGAAAUCCCCGCGCUUAACGUGGGAACUGCAUUUGAAACUGGCAAGCUAGAGUCUUGUAGAGGGGGGUAGAAUUCCAGGUGUAGCGGUGAAAUGCGUAGAGAUCUGGAGGAAUACCGGUGGCGAGGGCGGCCCCCUGGACAAAGACUGACGCUCAGGUGCGAAAGCGUGGGGAGCAAACA